rnacentral:tRNA from 1 species
GUCUGCAUAGUUCAACGCAAGAACGGUCUGCCUAUCAAGCAGAACGACGACGGUUCGACUCCGUCAGCAGACU